GCGGGGGUAGCCAAGCCUGGCCAACGGCGCAGGACUUAAGAUUCUGUCCAGAAGUGGUUCGUGAGUUCAAAUCUCAUCCCCCGCA
rnacentral:tRNA from 1 species